UCGAUAGUGAGUGAAUCAUCGAAUCUUUGAACGCACCUUGCACUUUAAGAGUCAAUCUUAAAGUACACCUGUUUGAGUAUCAUAACAUUUAUCCAAUUUAUUUGGGAGUUGAGGGUUUAGUUGCCACGGCGAUUAUCCCUUUAAAUGUAUUAGGGACUCUAGGAUAAGCAGUCUUAUAUCUAGAAUGAGGAUAUUACUCUUGUAGUAACAUAAUCAGGAAGGAGUAAAAGGGCUAAUCCGAUCAUGAGUUUCUCAGCCGCUUGUUUGACUUCUUAGUUAGUUAAUUUAUUAAUUAAACGAGACAGACAGACAGCAACUUGUACAAAUGUGAUCUCAAAUCAGGCAAGAUUACCCGCCGAACUUAAGCAUAUCAAUAAGCGGAGG
rnacentral:rRNA from 1 species